rnacentral:tRNA from 1 species
AGAACCUUAGGUUAAUUUAAACCAAAAGCUUUCAAAGCUUUAAACGGGAACUGUGCUUUUCAGGUUCUG